UACGGAGGAUGCAAGCGUUAUCCGGAAUGAUUGGGCGUAAAGCGUCCGCAGGUGGCUGUGUAAGUCUGCUGUCAAAGAGCAAAGCUCAACUUUGUAAAGGCAGUGGAAACUACACGGCUAGAGUGCGUUCGGGGCAGAGGGAAUUCCUGGUGUAGCGGUGAAAUGCGUAGAGAUCAGGAAGAACACCGGUGGCGAAAGCGCUCUGCUGGACCUAAACUGACACUGAGGGACGAAAGCUAGGGGAGCGAAUGGG
rnacentral:rRNA from 1 species